rnacentral:rRNA from 1 species
GAUGAACGCUGGCGGCGUGCCUAACACAUGCAAGUCGAGCGUGAACCCUGCGAAUGAAACUUCGGUCGAUUUUGCAGGGGGAAAGCGGCGGACGGGUGAGUAACGCGUAGGUAACCUGCCCCAUACUGAGGGAUAGCCUCGGGAAACCGGGAUUAAUACCUCAUAACACCGUAUAUUCGCAUGGAUGUGCGGUCAAAGUUUACGGGUAUGGGAUGGGCCUGCGUCUGAUUAGCUGGUUGGUGGGGUAACGGCCUACCAAGGCGACGAUCAGUAGCCGACCUGAGAGGGUGAUCGGCCACAUUGGAACUGAGACACGGUCCAAACUCCUACGGGAGGCAGCAGUGGGGAAUAUUGCACGAAUGGGCGAAAGCCUGAUGCAGCAACGCCGCGUGAGCGAAGAAGGCCUUUGGGUCGUAAAGCUCUGUCGGGUAGGAAGAUAAUGACGGUACUACCCGAGGAAGCCCCGGCUAACUACGUG